GGACUUAUUUACAACCCAAUGCCA
rnacentral:siRNA from 1 species